rnacentral:rRNA from 1 species
AUGGUCUCCAGCGCCCGUAGUUCCGGCGGCAUGGCUCACUCGGCUUCCAACAGCGCCGGAAGCGCCGGUUCCCCCUCCGGCGGCAUCGGGCCCGGCAAGGGGGUUGCGGCGGCGGCCGCCACGACCUCGGCGUCAGCGUCCACGCCGGCCAGCGGGAGCACCGUUGCCCGCCGCCUCAAUGAUCUCGAAAUUCAGGGAGAUGACCCGCCAUCGUCGCAGCCCGUUGCUAGCAAGAAGAAAAAGAAAGGAACACGCGUAGUAGGUCCCGACAAAGGUAACCGUGGAUUGCGCCAAUUCAGUAUGAAAGUCUGUGAGAAAGUUGAAGGCAAAGGGAGAACAACCUACAAUGAGGUGGCAGACGAACUUGUAGCUGAGUUUGCAGAUCCAAAUAGUAAUAUUGGGUCACCAGAUCCUGAUAAUCCCAACACACAACAAUAUGAUGAGAAAAAUAUACGAAGAAGGGUUUACGAUGCACUAAACGUCCUGAUGGCUAUGGAUAUUAUAUCUAAAGAUAAAAAGGAAAUUCAGUGGAAGGGCUUACCCCGAACAAGUUUGAGUGAUAUUGAUAAAUUGAAGACUGAGGUCAUUGGGCUGAAAGGUAGAAUUGACAAGAAAAGUGCAUAUCUGCAGGAAUUACAAGAUCAAUAUGCGGGCCUCCAAAAUUUGGUAGAGCGAAAUGAGCAGCUAUAUGGUUCGGGAGAUGCUCCAUCUGGCGGAGUGGCCCUGCCAUUCAUAUUGGUUCAGACACGUCCUCAUGCAACUGUCGAAGUGGAGAUAUCAGAAGAUAUGCAGUUGGUGCAUUUUGAUUUCAAUAGCACUCCGUUUGAGUUGCACGAUGAUUCCUUUGUAUUGAAAGCAAUGGGGUUCUCUGGUAAAGAAGAAACUGACGGUACAGUGGCUCUGGUUGCAAAUGCGGUUGAAUGCUCAAGUGCAUCAAAUGUUUAUGGGCGUCGAUCACCACAACCUGCAAGGCCAAAUGGAAUUAGGCUACGAACCUCACCUCCUAUUCCAGGGAUACUGAAAGGGCGUGUCAAGCAUGAACACUAG